rnacentral:lncRNA from 1 species
AGAAACAGGAAGGGGCUCCCCUUUUCUCCCUUGCUCUUCCAGCAGCACAAUGUGAGCCACCGGCAAGGAGGGACACCAAUAAGGCGUCUGAUAAGAACCUUGAAUCACAAUGAUGGCUAGCCACGGUUGAGCAGAUCUCUGGGGAUGCUUCCAUAUCCGAUCCAUAGCGAAGUAAGGCUUGUUGCUCAGGGGCUCCAGGAAUGAAGGAGAAACUUCACCCUGUUCUGGCUUCAUCUGCCUUGCCGCCCCUGGAACUGCACCUAAAUAACCUGAUGGAGUGCUUCAGACUUGUAGUUUUAGCAGGUUAAUGGAAUUGACCUUUAGUUGAUCUACAAGUUGUAGCAAUAUUUUAACAUAGUACAAUUCCUAUGGCUGAUUCAGUUAGAGUUCAUUGAACAUUUAGCCUGAUUAUACACAAAUUGAGACCAGCUUUGAGAUGGUAAUAUUGAUAAGGGAGAAACCAAUCAUGGGAGGGAUACAAAGAACUUGCCUUUGGAGAUGAGUGUGUCUUGGCACAAACCAUGAAUCUCCAUUCCACAAUGAGAUUAAUAAGUGCACAAACAACUAUGCUUUCUUUUACAUGUCCAGAAUUCAGCCAAUCAAGCUUUGGCAAAUGGUUGGAGGUCAGAGCCAUGGAUCAUUGACACUUAUUUCAACCGGUAACCUUCGGCUUUUUGCUCCAAACAUGAGAGCUUAGCAAAGAGGAAUGGAGUAUUAUUUGUAAUUAUUCCCAUCUCCCAUCUGAGAUACGUCAAACAGCAGUUCUAUGUGUUUGAUAUGUCCCCUCCUUCAUUCUGUGCAGAUACUAUCUAUUAAAACCCUUCAAAAUUAGAGAGUUUGGGUAGGAACUAAGACUAUCGUUUAUUUUAUUUUAGGAUGAAGGACUCUUUGGAAGUUAUUUCCACAAUAUCUUAGAUUGUCAAACACCCCAUAUUUUUGAGGUUGUUGAGAUAUUUUAGCAUUCUCUGAUAUCUGGUAAACCAAGGCCCUUCUCCAUUGUAAUAUAGGGAAAAUGCUUGCAUAUAGAUAAUAGAAUUUCUUAAGCUGUAAUAAUUUUUUGAGAGCCUUGAUUAGAAUUGUUUUAAUUUAUGGAUCAACUUUUGGAAGACUGAUAUCUUUGAGUUUAUCUUUAGAAAGACAGUCACUAAAUAUAUUCAGUUUUCUUUCUGGAUGUAAUGGUGAAUUUACAGUAUCUGUUUCCCUGUCAUUUUACUCCAGAUGUGUCUCAUACAUUUGUAAUUUAGCAUUUGUGUUUGCAUUCUAUUUAAGUUUCCUUUAUAACUGAGUUAUUUUGCCAGUGUUAUUAAGUAACUAUUUUAAAACAAGGAGGAUUUUUAAAUCUCUCUGCUACUUACUUCUAUAUAUUGACUAACAUCAGAAAAUAAUAUGUGAUUGUGUGAUGUCUAGUCUUUGGAAUGUAUUAAGUCUUCUUUUUCUGAUUUAUUUUCCAUUUCUGUUUAGCUUGUUUUAAUUACAAUUAAAAUUUAUUGUGAGA